CCCCACUAUCUCCACCAUCCCCACCACUCCCACCAUCUCCACCAUCCCCAACUUCUUUAAAGAGAAAGAGAGAGAGAGGGAGAGAGAGAGAAAGAAAGAGAGAUAGAGAGAGAAAGCUCACCUGAGCUCGUCGCCGGAGCAACCGUGUGCCGUGAUCACGUUCAGCUUGCCACCACCGAUAAACGCCCUAGGUAACCGCCGAAAACCGCAUUUCUUAAGCUCAUUUUCGUUUCCGUUUAGUAAAUCACCCAUAACUUCCUAACCAUUGAUCAUCUCGUACAUCCAAGGCCAUCAUCGUGUUCCUCUCGUCGAGACGAAGCCGUAGACACCAACCACGCCUCAAACGGAGCCCGGACGAAGCCGCACGCGCCUCCCGAAGAUUCGCCUCGGCGCGCGCGUGAAACACACGCGCCACCGCCGUCCGCCGGAGCCACCGCGAGUUCCGGCCACGCGCUGCCGUCUCCGACCAAAGUUCGCCGGAGCCGCCGUGACCGACCACCGUCCGUUCGCCGCCGGGAAGCUGCCGCCGCGUCGCCGCCGUUGACUUUCCGAUUUGGAGUCCAUUUGAGCAGCUGGAGUUCAUAGAUACCACCUCUUAUUGUUGCUAAGGUGAGACAAACAAGUAUGUGAUAUUUGGACGGACUUGGUGCUACUGGACUUUUCUUUCGGAUUUUAUUUGGGCUUGGGUGAGAGUUGUCGGGUUUAUGGGCUUUUAUAUUACGGGAUAUUGUUGGUGGCCCGUCGUCCUUAGUGUCAGGGAGACGGGUGUCACAUUGUUGUAUGAUGACGCGUCGGGGGUGACACGCUGUCCUCCAUAUAGGAGGUGACGGGUGUCACAAUUUGGUAUCAGAGCGGGUUCCAUCCCGGUUCCGUCCGGGAUGGCGGUCAGGGGAUUCGGUUUUCAUCGGUUUUCAACUUAAAAAAAAAAAAAAAACUAUAUAUUUAUUUAUACAUUUCGAAAUUCUUUUAGCACCAUUCUGUCCAGUAAUUACUAACUCAAAUGUCUCUUUCUAUGACGAUGAGUAAAAUCAUCGUCAUUCGUCCUUCGACUAUCAAGGUUCUCGACAGAUGUUCAGCAGUUGCGUGAAGUCCAAGUUCGUCAGUUUUCUCGGGAGUUAUCAGUUUCUUCGGUCAUGAUUUCGAGGCUAUCCAGGAGUGGAUAUGUGACGUUUCUGCCACCAGCCCACUUCAAGCAAUCGUUCCACGAGUUUUGUUACUGGAGAUUAUGUGGUGUGUGGUAUGAGCCAUUGGUUGGCAUGUGUUGUUGUGUGUACGAGUAUAUUGACUAUUUUGGAGAUAUAUUUGUUUUGUGAACUCGUGGAGAUCGCUUUUGAAUUGGGGUGCAGCAGCUUGCGUUGUGUAGGUGUUGGAGUUACACUUUGGUAUGUUUACCAAUUUUGGCAGUGUUGAUCGUUUCAGAGAUGUGUCAGUUUGGACAACUGACAUAGGACAUUGGGAGCUAUUUAUAUCCAUCGCAGUGUACCAGUUAUGCUUGGAGGGCCGAUUUGUUCGGAUAUUCAUCAGAGAUGGAGCUACGUUUUUACGAUGUUAUCCUUGGGACGGAUUGAUUGUCACGGCAUCAAGUAGUGUUGGAUUGCCUGAGGGCAAGAGUUCUGAUUGCUGGAGCAGAUGGAAGUUGUUAGUGCAUGCAUGCUACAUACUGAGGAGUUAUGGGAUACAAGGACAUAGAGAUUUUUGACUUUAUGGGAUACAAGGACAUAGAGAUUUGUGACUACCAUCUCGAUGGUUAAGGCUGAUGGACAACAUGAGCUGCAGGAUCUUCCGGUUAUUGCAGAGUAUGAGGAUAUAUUUGUGACCUUCGGAACGGUCACCACAUGACACAUGAGAAACUCUUGCGAUUUGUUUGGAGCAAACAACACCAGUUUCACAAGUUUUAUACCGAUUAGCACCAACAGAGAUGACAAAGCUGAAAGAGCAUGUUGAAGAUUCAUCAGACAAGGGUUUUAUCAGACCGGAUACUUUACCGUGGGGAAUAUCAUCAUUGUUGUUGUAAAGAAGAAAGGUGGGAGUUUCAAUUUUGUAUCGACUGCAAAGGUCUGAACAAAGUGACCAUUAAAGAUAAGUAUCGCUUCCGCGCGUUGAUGAAUUAGUGGAUUAUUUAUAGGAAGUUUAUAGUUCUUGAAGGUUGACAUGGCAUCAGAACACCAUCAGAUUACUAUAUUUGAAGAGUAUCUACUGAAUGUGAAUUUUUGUAUACAUUAUGGAUAUUAUGGGACGCAGUGAUACCAUUUGGCUCGACAAAGGCACUGUUGCAUUCAUGAAGAUAUGAAUGACGUUUUCAUGAACAUUUGGAUAGGUGUGCGAUUGUAUUCAUCGAUGACAUCCUGAUUUAUUUUGGAGAAGAAAGGAGAUUUGUGAGCAUUUCGCGGAUUGCGUUGGAUAAGCCUGGAGAGCAUCAGUUGUUCGCUAAGUUGAGGAAGUGUAGCUUCUGGCAGAGGAAUGUUGUAUUUUUGGCUGACAUGGUUUUGGAAGCAGAAUUUUGAUGGAUCAAAAGAAGAUUAAUACCGUUUCGGGGAGGUCGAAACCUAAGAGCGCUACAAAGAUCUGCCGUUCUUUUUGGGUUAAUAGUGUUCUACUGGAAGUUCAUCAAGGGUUUCACCGGUAUAGUAAUGUUAAAGACGUGGUCUGCAUGUAAAGACGUAAAGUGUGGCUGGAUAGAUUUUUGUUCGAGGAGUUUCACUGAAUUGAAGCACAACUAAUGAAGACACCAGUUUUGGGUUCUACUGAGGCUGAGGCUUACUGUGAUGUGUCAGAUACUGGAUUGGAUUUAAAUUAAGGUAUGAGGAUUAAGUCAUUCAUAUGCAUCACGCCAGAGAGGCUGUAGUGGUAUUUGCGUUAUCGUUUUGGAAAUCGUAAUUGUACGGGAAGGAAAUUCAGAUUCUCUGGGAUUAUUAGAAUGUGAAAUUUAUCUUCAUUUAUUAAAAACUUGUACUUGGACAGUGCAGUUGGAUUGAGUUUGUAGCAGACUACAGUUUGGAUAUCGCAUACCAUCUCGGAAGGACAACCAGGUGACAGAUGCCUUGGGUAGGAACAUGAGCGGCAUAUCGAGAACCAAAAAGAUUUAAGAGCUUAUUGGGAGACUUGCUAGUCUCAGAUUGUGUGUUAUUACUGUCAAAGGAAAGACAUAUGGCCUUAAGGCUUGGAGCAGGCAGUUUUGGUAUGGAGGAUACACAAGCACGAGUUAGCAUUAUGGAUUUGGUUGAACAGAUCGAGAUUGGGAGUAUUGGAUAUCAUACAGCUUUGAGCAGGAUAUACUUGUACUGAAACCGAGUUUGUGUGUUGGACGAUAAGUUGUUAAGAAAAGGAAUCUUACAACAAACAUAUCACUCGUGUUUCUCUACCCAUCGGGAAGACCAAAGGGUACAAAGAUAUGAAGAGUUAACUAUAAUUGGUGUAGUAUGAAGAUGUUUGUAACUACAUUACGUCGCGGUGCCAGACAUGUUAUAUGGCAAUAACAGAGGAUCGGUCAUCUAUCAUGUAAUUUUUGAGCUUGCUUUUGCUGGAGUAGAAAUGAGGCAUGGUGAUUAUGGACAUUGUUAUUGGAUUUUAAAUCACCAUAUGUGGAAAGGAUGCCACAUGGGUAGUCAUGGAUAGACUUACCAAGUCAGCCCAUUUCCUAAGUAAUUAAGAAGAUAAUCAGGGCUAAUCAAUUGGAGCAGACCUACAUUAUUGAGUUUGGGAAGUUUCAUGGAUGUCAAAAUUGUAUCAGAUUGGGAAUCGAAGUUCACAUCUACAUUUCAGAGAGCCUUUCGGAAGGCACUUGGGACAAAGAUCAUAUGAGUACAUCUUAUCACCCGUUGACAUAUUGUCAGUUAGAGAGGACUACUGAGAACUUAAAUGAUAUGUUCAGAGAUUGCGUGGGAUGGAAUUUCGGAAACCAUCUACCUUUACCAGAGUUUGCCUACAUCGACAAUUAUCUUUCGAGUAAAAAAAAAAAAAAAAAAAAAUUACUAUACAAGGGUUAUUUAUGGUAGACCUUAUAGUAUACCACUUUGUUGGACCAAAGUGGGGGAGCGACAUGAGUUAAAAGUAUUAAUGGUUCAAAAGGCGGCUGAGCAAAUGGAAAUGCUCAAUGAUGGGUUUUCGGAAUCCCAUGACGUCAGAAGAUUUAUGCAGCUAAGCGCCAUAAAUAUUUGGAGCUACAUAUGGGCGACUUAAUAUACCUGAAAAUAAGGACAUUUCAAGAGGGGCCUAAGACUCAGAAGAUAAAGGAGCUUAAACCGAGACACAUGGAAUUGUAUCCUGCACUGGAGUGGAUUGGAUUAGUUGCUUGCAGUUACUUUAUCAGCAAUAUAUCAGCCUUCUAGGACUUGGUUCAUAUGACAGCAUUGCAAAAGUUGAGAAGGCGCUAUAAUUAUUUUGCAGUUGACGUCAAGUGAGUUCAUAAAGAUUUUAUGGACCUUAUCAUCUAUUGAAGAUUUUGGAUCAUCAAGAGAAAACAGUUCGGGGAAUGUCGACCGUGUUUGUCCGAGUUCGUUGGGAGGGAGAUAAGACUCAGGAGGGGACCUGAAAGGCCGAGCGAGGAUUAGUAUUCGAGGUUUUGCUAUGAUGACAUUGGGCACGUCAGCUUAUGACAUGAAUUCGGGGACGAAUUCCUUAUAAGUGGGGGAGAAUUGUAAUGACCCACCUCCACUAUCCCCACUAUCUCCACCAUCCCCACCACUCCCACCAUCUCCACCAUCCCCAACUUCUUUAAAGAGAGAGAGAGAGAGGGAGAGAGAGAGAGAAAGAGAGAGAUAGAGAGAGAAAGCUCACCUGAGCUCGUCGCCGGAGCAACCGUGUGCCGUGAUCACGUUCAGCUUGCCACCACCGAUAAACGCCCUAGGUAACCGCCGAAAACCGCAUUUCUUAAGCUCAUUUUCGUUUCCGUUUAGUAAAUCACCCAUAACUUCCUAACCAUUGAUCAUCUCGUACAUCCAAGGCCAUCAUCGUGUUCCUCUCGUCGAGACGAAGCCGUAGACACCAACCACGCCUCAAACGGAGCCCGGACGAAGCCGCACGCGCCUCCCGAAGAUUCGCCUCGGCGCGCGCGUGAAACACACGCGCCACCGCCGUCCGCCGGAGCCACCGCGAGUUCCGGCCACGCGCUGCCGUCUCCGACCAAAGUUCGCCGGAGCCGCCGUGACCGACCACCGUCCGUUCGCCGCCGGGAAGCUGCCGCCGCGUCGCCGCCGUUGACUUUCCGAUUUGGAGUCCAUUUGAGCAGCUGGAGUUCAUAGAUACCACCUCUUAUUGUUGCUAAGGUGAGACAAACAAGUAUGUGAUAUUUGGACGGACUUGGUGCUACUGGACUUUUCUUUCGGAUUUUAUUUGGGCAUGGGUGAGAGUUGUCGGGUUUAUGGGCUUUUAUAUUACGGGAUAUUGUUGGUGGCCCGUCGUCCUUAGUGUCAGGGAGACGGGUGUCACAUUGUUGUAUGAUGACGCGUCGGGGGUGACACGCUGUCCUCCAUAUAGGAGGUGACGGGUGUCACAAUUUGGUAUCAGAGCGGGUUCCAUCCCGGUUCCGUCCGGGAUGGCGGUCAGGGGAUUCGGUUUUCAUCGGUUUUCAACUUAAAAAAAAAAAAAAACUAUAUAUUUAUUUAUACAUUUCGAAAUUCUUUUAGCACCAUUCUGUCCAGUAAUUACUAACUCAAAUGUCUCUUUCUAUGACGAUGAGUAAAAUCAUCGUCAUUCGUCCUUCGACUAUCAAGGUUCUCGACAGAUGUUCAGCAGUUGCGUGAAGUCCAAGUUCGUCAGUUUUCUCGGGAGUUAUCAGUUUCUUCGGUCAUGAUUUCGAGGCUAUCCAGGAGUGGAUAUGUGACGUUUCUGCCACCAGCCCACUUCAAGCAAUCGUUCCACGAGUUUUGUUACUGGAGAUUAUGUGGUGUGUGGUAUGAGCCAUUGGUUGGCAUGUGUUGUUGUGUGUACGAGUAUAUUGACUAUUUUGGAGAUAUAUUUGUUUUGUGAACUCGUGGAGAUCGCUUUUGAAUUGGGGUGCAGCAGCUUGCGUUGUGUGGGUGUUGGAGUUACACUUUGGUAUGUUUACCAAUUUUGGCAGUGUUGAUCGUUUCAGAGAUGUGUCAGUUUGGACAACUGACAUAGGACAUUGGGAGCUAUUUAUAUCCAUCGCAGUGUACCAGUUAUGCUUGGAGGGCCGAUUUGUUCGGAUAUUCAUCAGAGAUGGAGCUACGUUUUUACGAUGUUAUCCUUGGGACGGAUUGAUUGUCACGGCAUCAAGUAGUGUUGGAUUGCCUGAGGGCAAGAGUUCUGAUUGCUGGAGCAGAUGGAAGUUGUUAGUGCAUGCAUGCUACAUACUGAGGAGUUAUGGGAUACAAGGACAUAGAGAUUUUUGACUUUAUGGGAUACAAGGACAUAGAGAUUUGUGACUACCAUCUCGAUGGUUAAGGCUGAUGGACAACAUGAGCUACAGGAUCUUCCGGUUAUUGCAUAGUAUGAGGAUAUAUUUGUGACCUUUGGAACGGUCACCACAUGACACAUGAGAAACUCUUGCGAUUUGUUUGGAGCAAACAACACCAGUUUCACAAGUUUUAUACCGAUUAGCACCAACAGAGAUGACAAAGCUGAAAGAGCAUGUUGAAGAUUCAUCAGACAAGGGUUUUAUCAGACCGGAUACUUUACCGUGGGGAAUAUCAUCAUUGUUGUUGUAAAGAAGAAAGGUGGGAGUUUCAAUUUUGUAUCGACUGCAAAGGUCUGAACAAAGUGACCAUUAAAGAUAAGUAUCGCUUCCGCGCGUUGAUGAAUUAGUGGAUUAUUUAUAGGAAGUUUAUAGUUCUUGAAGGUUGACAUGGCAUCAGAACACCAUCAGAUUACUAUAUUUGAAGAGUAUCUACUGAAUGUGAAUUUUUGUAUACAUUAUGGAUAUUAUGGGACGCAGUGAUACCAUUUGGCUCGACAAAGGCACUGUUGCAUUCAUGAAGAUAUGAAUGACGUUUUCAUGAACAUUUGGAUAGGUGUGCGAUUGUAUUCAUCGAUGACAUCCUGAUUUAUUUUGGAGAAGAAAGGAGAUUUGUGAGCAUUUCGCGGAUUGCGUUGGAUAAGCCUGGAGAGCAUCAGUUGUUCGCUAAGUUGAGGAAGUGUAGCUUCUGGCAGAGGAAUGUUGUAUUUUUGGCUGACAUGGUUUUGGAAGCAGAAUUUUGAUGGAUCAAAAGAAGAUUAAUACCGUUUCGGGGAGGUCGAAACCUAAGAGCGCUACAAAGAUCUGCCGUUCUUUUUGGGUUAAUAGUGUUCUACUGGAAGUUCAUCAAGGGUUUCACCGGUAUAGUAAUGUUAAAGACGCGGUCUACAUGUAAAGACGUAAAGUGUGGCUGGAUAGAUUUUUGUUCGAGGAGUUUCACUGAAUUGAAGCACAACUAAUGAAGACACCAGUUUUGGGUUCUACUGAGGCUGAGGCUUACUGUGAUGUGUCAGAUACUGGAUUGGAUUUAAAUUAAGGUAUGAGGAUUAAGUCAUUCAUAUGCAUCACGCCAGAGAGGCUGUAGUGGUAUUUGCGUUAUCGUUUUGGAAAUCGUAAUUGUACGGGAAGGAAAUUCAGAUUCUCUGGGAUUAUUAGAAUGUGAAAUUUAUCUUCAUUUAUUAAAAACUUGUACUUGGACAGUGCAGUUGGAUUGAGUUUGUAGCAGACUACAGUUUGGAUAUCGCAUACCAUCUGGAAGGACAACCAGGUGACAAAUGCCUUGGGUAGGAACAUGAGCGGCAUAUCGAGAACCAAAAAGAUUUAAGAGCUUAUUGGGAGACUUGCUAGUCUCAGAUUGUGUGUUAUUACUGUCAAAGGAAAGACAUAUGGCCUUAAGGCUUGGAGCAGGCAGUUUUGGUAUGGAGGAUACACAAGCACGAGUUAGCAUUAUGGAUUUGGUUGAACAGAUCGAGAUUGGGAGUAUUGGAUAUCAUACAGCUUUGAGCAGGAUAUACUUGUACUGAAACCGAGUUUGUGUGUUGGACGAUAAGUUGUUAAGAAAAGGAAUCUUACAACAAACAUAUCACUCGUGUUUCUCUACCCAUCGGGAAGACCAAAGGGUACAAAGAUAUGAAGAGUUAACUAUAAUUGGUGUAGUAUGAAGAUGUUUGUAACUACAUUACGUCGCGGUGCCAGACAUGUUAUAUGGCAAUAACAGAGGAUCGGUCAUCUAUCAUGUAAUUUUUGAGCUUGCUUUUGCUGGAGUAGAAAUGAGGCAUGGUGAUUAUGGACAUUGUUAUUGGAUUUUAAAUCACCAUAUGUGGAAAGGAUGCCACAUGGGUAGUCAUGGAUAGACUUACCAAGUCAGCCCAUUUCCUAAGUAAUUAAGAAGAUAAUCAGGGCUAAUCAAUUGGAGCAGACCUACAUUAUUGAGUUUGGGAAGUUUCAUGGAUGUCAAAAUUGUAUCAGAUUGGGAAUCGAAGUUCACAUCUACAUUUCAGAGAGCCUUUCGGAAGGCACUUGGGACAAAGAUCAUAUGAGUACAUCUUAUCACCCGUUGACAUAUUGUCAGUUAGAGAGGACUACUGAGAACUUAAAUGAUAUGUUCAGAGAUUGCGUGGGAUGGAAUUUCGGAAACCAUCUACCUUUACCAGAGUUUGCCUACAUCGACAAUUAUCUUUCGAGUAAAAAAAAAAAAAAAAAAAAAAUUACUAUACAAGGGUUAUUUAUGGUAGACCUUAUAGUAUACCACUUUGUUGGACCAAAGUGGGGGAGCGACAUGAGUUAAAAGUAUUAAUGGUUCAAAAGGCGGCUGAGCAAAUGGAAAUGCUCAAUGAUGGGUUUUCGGAAUCCCAUGACGUCAGAAGAUUUAUGCAGCUAAGCGCCAUAAAUAUUUGGAGCUACAUAUGGGCGACUUAAUAUACCUGAAAAUAAGGACAUUUCAAGAGGGGCCUAAGACUCAGAAGAUAAAGGAGCUUAAACCGAGACACAUGGAAUUGUAUCCUGCACUGGAGUGGAUUGGAUUAGUUGCUUGCAGUUACUUUAUCAGCAAUAUAUCAGCCUUCUAGGACUUGGUUCAUAUGACAGCAUUGCAAAAGUUGAGAAGGCGCUAUAAUUAUUUUGCAGUUGACGUCAAGUGAGUUCAUAAAGAUUUUAUGGACCUUAUCAUCUAUUGAAGAUUUUGGAUCAUCAAGAGAAAACAGUUCGGGGAAUGUCGACCGUGUUUGUCCGAGUUCGUUGGGAGGGAGAUAAGACUCAGGAGGGGACCUGAAAGGCCGAGCGAGGAUUAGUAUUCGAGGUUUUGCUAUGAUGACAUUGGGCACGUCAGCUUAUGACAUGAAUUCGGGGACGAAUUCCUUAUAAGUGGGGGAGAAUUGUAAUGACCCACCUCCACUAUCCCCACUAUCUCCACCAUCCCCACCACUCCCACCAUCUCCACCAUCCCCAACUUCUUUAAAGAGAAAGAGAGAGAGAGGGAGAGAGAGAGAAAGAAAGAGAGAUAGAGAGAGAAAGCUCACCUGAGCUCGUCGCCGGAGCAACCGUGUGCCGUGAUCACGUUCAGCUUGCCACCACCGAUAAACGCCCUAGGUAACCGCCGAAAACCGCAUUUCUUAAGCUCAUUUUCGUUUCCGUUUAGUAAAUCACCCAUAACUUCCUAACCAUUGAUCAUCUCGUACAUCCAAGGCCAUCAUCGUGUUCCUCUCGUCGAGACGAAGCCGUAGACACCAACCACGCCUCAAACGGAGCCCGGACGAAGCCGCACGCGCCUCCCGAAGAUUCGCCUCGGCGCGCGCGUGAAACACACGCGCCACCGCCGUCCGCCGGAGCCACCGCGAGUUCCGGCCACGCGCUGCCGUCUCCGACCAAAGUUCGCCGGAGCCGCCGUGACCGACCACCGUCCGUUCGCCGCCGGGAAGCUGCCGCCGCGUCGCCGCCGUUGACUUUCCGGUAAGCCGCCGCGACGCCGCCGGUGACCGACACCGGUAACUCGCCGGCGACUCGCCAACUCGGCCGAGUCAACCCGAUUUGGAGUCCAUUUGAGCAGCUGGAGUUCAUAGAUACCACCUCUUAUUGUUGCUAAGGUGAGACAAACAAGUAUGUGAUAUUUGGACGGACUUGGUGCUACUGGACUUUUCUUUCGGAUUUUAUUUGGGCUUGGGUGAGAGUUGUCGGGUUUAUGGGCUUUUAUAUUACGGGAUAUUGUUGGUGGCCCGUCGUCCUUAGUGUCAGGGAGACGGGUGUCACAUUGUUGUAUGAUGACGCGUCGGGGGUGACACGCUGUCCUCCAUAUAGGAGGUGACGGGUGUCACACUUACACUAUAGGUGACGGUAAGAAGUUUAGCGUCCCAACCAAUGGCCCAUGCACCAGGGUUUCCUUUCUCCAUCACUAACGCCACGACAGUUCCUUCUAUUGUUCCCAUUAGGCAUAUCCAUGCAGUGAGUGAGAGUUCAGCUGGGUAAGUUCUCAACGUGACAGCCUGACAAAAUUGAUUCAUAUAUAACCAAAAUAAAUCGCUAAAGUAAAAAAAAAUGUGACUGUUCUGGUUCA